rnacentral:rRNA from 1 species
AGCAGCCUCGGUAAUUCCAGCUCCAAUAGCGUAUAUUAAAGUUGCUGCAGUUAAAAAGCUCGUAGUUGAAUUUCGGGACCGAUAUAUCGGUCGUGCCUCGGUACGUACUGGUAUUUUCGGUUUCUCCCUUCUGACGAACCUUGAUAUCAUUAAUUUGGUGUCUUGGGAAAUCAGGACUGUUACUUUGAAAAAAUUAGAGUGUUUAAAGCAGGCUCACGCUUGAAUACAUUAGCAUGGAAUAAUGAAAUAGGACGUUUGAUUCUAUUUUGUUGGUUUCUAGGAUCGACGUAAUGAUUAAUAGGGAUAGUUGGGGGCAUUAGUAUUCAAUUGUCAGAGGUGAAAUUCUUGGAUUUAUUGAAGACUAACUACUGCGAAAGCAUUUGCCAAGGAUGUUUUCAUUAAUCAAGAACGAAUGUUAGGGGAUCGAAGACGAUCAGAUACCGUCAUAGU